GAUGAACGCUAGCUACAGGCUUAACACAUGCAAGUCGAGGGGCAGCAUGAUUGAAGCUUGCUUCAAUCGAUGGCGACCGGCGCACGGGUGAGUAACACGUAUCCAACCUGCCGAUAACUCGGGGAUAGCCUUUCGAAAGAAAGAUUAAUACCCGAUAGUAUAGUAUUUCCGCAUGGUUUCACUAUUAAAGAACUUCGGUUAUCGAUGGGGAUGCGUUUCAUUAGAUAGUUGGCGGGGUAACGGCCCACCAAGUCAACGAUGGAUAGGGGUUCUGAGAGGAAGGUCCCCCACAUUGGAACUGAGACACGGUCCAAACUCCUACGGGAGGGAGCAGUGAGGAAUAUUGGUCAAUGGACGAGAGUCUGAACCAGCCAAGUAGCGUGAAGGAUGACUGCCCUAUGGGUUGUAAACUUCUUUUAUACGGGAAUAAAGUGGAGUAUGCAUACUCCUUUGUAUGUACCGUAUGAAUAAGGAUCGGCUAACUCCGUG
rnacentral:rRNA from 1 species